rnacentral:sRNA from 1 species
ACGAGAUGAACAAAGGUUAAGAAUGCGCCUUCCUGUCGCAACGCCUUUGUGACUCACAUCUUGUGAG